rnacentral:rRNA from 1 species
CCUACGGGAGGCAGCAGUGGGGAAUAUUGCGCAAUGGGCGAAAGCCUGACGCAGCGACGCCGCGUGAGGGAUGAAGGUCUUCGGAUCGGAAACCUCGGUCAGCAGGGAAGAACGGUCACAGGGCUAAGCAGCAGUGAAUUGACGGUACCGGCAAAGGAAGCACAGGCUAACGCCGGGCCAGCAGCCGCGGUAAUACGGAGGGUGCGAGCGUUACUCGGAAUUACGGGGCGUCAAGCGCUCGUAGGCGGUAUGUCAAGUCAAGGGUGAAAUCCCCGCGCUCAACGUGGGAACUGCCUUUGAAACUGGCAAACUGGUGUGUGUGCGCGGUUAGUGGUAUUCCCGGUGUAGGCG